rnacentral:lncRNA from 1 species
GGUAAAAAUUCAAUGGAUUAUCACAGUAUUGAAAGCACACACUUAUAAAAUGGUAUUCAAACCAAAUAAUAUUAGAAUGAUUGCAUAACAAAGCACAGGGCCACUGUGUUUUAGCAAUGAAACAUACAAUUUAACCUGAUGUAACCAGACGUUAAGGUUUCCUGUUGGAUGGGACAAAUAUGCUCUGCAGGAGGAAUAGAAUUCUCCAUGAAGAACAGGGUUUCUCAUGAAGAGAAGAGGAGGAGAAAAAUGUUUCACAAAUCACAGUGAAGAUACAAGGAAAUUUUGCCUAAGAAGGAAAAGAAUAUAUUUCUCAGAAGCUGUGGUCCAUAAUUGCUUCCAUCCAUGACUUUAACAGAGCACUACCAACAAACAAUGUCAUAAUCAGCCAGAAUCCUCUCUCAA